rnacentral:rRNA from 1 species
UGAGGAAUAUUGGUCAAUGGACGGAAGUCUGAACCAGCCAAGUAGCGUGCAGGAUGACGGCCCUAUGGGUUGUAAACUGCUUUUGUAUGGGGAUAAAGUUAGGGACGUGUCCCUAUUUGCAGGUACCAUACGAAUAAGGACCGGCUAAUUCCGUGCCAGCAGCCGCGGUAAUACGGAAGGUCCAGGCGUUAUCCGGAUUUAUUGGGUUUAAAGGGAGCGUAGGCUGGAGAUUAAGUGUGUUGUGAAAUGUAGACGCUCAACGUCUGACUUGCAGCGCAUACUGGUUUCCUUGAGUACGCACAACGUUGGCGGAAUUCGUCGUGUAGCGGUGAAAUGCUUAGAUAUGACGAAGAACUCCGAUUGCGAAGGCAGCUGACGGGAGCGCAACUGACGCUUAAGCUCGAAGGUGCGGGUAUCAAACAGGAUUAGAUACCCUGGUAGUCCGCACAGUAAACGAUGGAUGCUCGCUGUUGGUACCUGGUAUCAGCGGCUAAGCGAAAGCAUUAAGCAUCCCACCUGGGGAGUACGCCGGCAACGGUG